GGCGGCUAUGCAGGAUUGGCAGGAGCUGCGAUGCUCACACUUGCCUCGCCGACCGCCAUUUCACAUCCAGCAGAGGAGGCGGGGGCAGCCGCUGAGACGGUUUUUCACAAGGCUUUCUCCAUAUUUACGUGCUUGUAACUCUGGCAUGACCUUUGCUCCAGUCUCUACCAGAGGGCGGUGCCUGGAUUGAAGUGGAAAAGCCCUGUUUUCCAGCCAUGACCCAGGGAGCAAGCACUGACUCCUCAGGGGAACAGGAGACCUGCCAACUAGGACCCUGGGAGCCCCCAUGCUGGCAGUGCCCUGGGUCAUCUCAGGCUCAUCAGCAAAUCCUGGGGGGAGAGCGGGGCUGGAGGGCGAAGAAGCCCAGGAGAGUUCCUGGCUCAGAACCCCUCUCUGAGGCUCCCAAUACAGAGCCCAGGCCCCACACCCAGGGCCUCUGAGUAUUUUUGUUUAUUGUAUGUAAAAUACUAGUGUAUUUUUGUUUAAGUCUCACAGGUAAACAGGUUCUCUCAUACUUUGCCAAGGGAAAUGUGAUCUGUGCAAUUUGGCAAUAACUAUCAGAAUUUUAAAAGCUUA
rnacentral:lncRNA from 1 species